GAGCCGUGAUGACACGCCUCCCUGAUGGUUGGGUCCAUCAAUUCAGCUUGACUUUCAAGAUUGACAAUACAGGCCCUUCUGAGCUC